AUGACUUUGAUCAGCGUCUUCAUCUGCACACUGGCCCUCUGGACUCAAGGAUCCAGAGGUCAGGUGACUUUGACUCAGACUCCUUCAGUGCAAACUGUUGCUCCAGGAAACACCGUCACCAUCAACUGUAGAACCAGCACAUCUCCUAGCUACCUUAACUGGUACCUGCAGAAAUCUGGAGAAGCUCCUAAACUCCUGAUCUACAAUACUAAUAGCUUAUACACAGGGACUCCAGCUCGUUUCAGUGGCAGUGGAUCUGGUACUGACUUCACUCUGACCAUCAGAGGAGUCCAGACUGAAGAUGCAGGAGAUUACUACUGUGGACACGAGGAGACAGAGGAGUACCACCUCCCCCGCCUCCCAGCGACCCGCACCUCAAAACCCUACCUGUGUGUUGGUGUGAUGAAGCGGGAGAAGUGA